rnacentral:rRNA from 1 species
GACGAACGCUGGCGUCGCGCCUAACACAUGCAAGUCGAGCGAGAACCUGGGCUUCGGCCCAGGGGAAAGCGGCGAACGGGUGAGUAACACGUGGGUAACCUGCCCUCGGCACCGGGAUAGCCCGGGGAAACUCGGAUUAAUACCGGACAGCCUCAUGAGCUCUCGGGCGAAUGAGAAAAGGUGGCUUCGGCUUCCGGCUGAGGAUGGGCCCGCGGCCGAUUAGCUUGUUGGUGAGGUAAUGGCUCACCAAGGCUCCGAUCGGUAGCUGGUCUGAGAGGACGAUCAGCCACACUGGGACUGAGACACGGCCCAGACUCCUACGGGAGGCAG